rnacentral:rRNA from 1 species
GACGAACGCUGGCGGCGUGCUUAACACAUGCAAGUCGAACGGAAAGGCCCUGCUUUUGUGGGGUGCUCGAGUGGCGAACGGGUGAGUAACACGUGAGUAACCUGCCCUUGACUUUGGGAUAACUUCAGGAAACUGGGGCUAAUACCGGAUAGGAGCUCCUGCUGCAUGGUGGGGGUUGGAAAGUUUCGGCGGUUGGGGAUGGACUCGCGGCUUAUCAGCUUGUUGGUGGGGUAGUGGCUUACCAAGGCUUUGACGGGUAGCCGGCCUGAGAGGGUGACCGGCCACAUUGGGACUGAGAUACGGCCCAGACCCCUACGGGAGGCAGCAGUGGGGAAUAUUGCACAAUGGGCGGAAGCCUGAUGCAGCAACGCCGCGUGCGGGAUGACGGCCUUCGGGUUGUAAACCGCUUUCGCCUGUGACGAGGCGUGAGUGACGGUAAUGGGUAAAGAAGCACCGGCUAACUACGUG